rfam:Anopheles dirus strain WRAIR2 unplaced genomic scaffold supercont1.6, whole genome shotgun sequence.
UUCGCAGUAUAUUCUUGUGAGUUUGUUACUUUUCAUAGUCAAAUCACAGGAGUAUACUGUGAG